rnacentral:rRNA from 1 species
UACGUAGGGGGCUAGCGUUGUCCGGAAUCAUUGGGCGUAAAGCGCGUGUAGGCGGUCCGGUAAGUCCGCUGUGAAAGUCGGGGGCUCAACCCUCGAAUGCCGGUGGAUACUGUCGGGCUAGAGUGCGGAAGAGGCGAGUGGAAUUCCUGGUGUAGCGGUGAAAUGCGCAGAUAUCGGGAGGAACACCGAUGGCGAAGGCAGGUCACUGGGCCGCAACUGACGCUGAGGAGCGAAAGCAUGGGGAGCGAACAGG